CGGCAGCACGGGUGCUUGCACCUGGUGGCGAGUGGCGAACGGGUGAGUAAUACAUCGGAACAUGUCCUGUAGUGGGGGAUAGCCCGGCGAAAGCCGGAUUAAUACCGCAUACGAUCUACGGAUGAAAGCGGGGGACCUUCGGGCCUCGCGCUAUAGGGUUGGCCGAUGGCUGAUUACCUAGUUGGUGGGGUAAAGGCCUACCAAGGCGACGAUCAGUAGCUGGUCUGAGAGGACGACCAGCCACACUGGGACUGAGACACGGCCCAGACUCCUACGGGAGGCAGCAGUGGGGAAUUUUGGACAAUGGGCGAAAGCCUGAUCCAGCAAUGCCGCGUGUGUGAAGAAGGCCUUCGGGUUGUAAAGCACUUUUGUCCGGAAAGAAAUCCUUGGCUCUAAUACAGUCGGGGGAUGACGGUACCGGAAGAAUAAGCACCGGCUAACUACGUGCCAGCAGCCGCGGUAAUACUGAGGGUGCGAGCGUUAAUCGGAAUUACUGGGCGUAAAGCGUGCGCAGGCGGUUUGCUAAGACCGAUGUGAAAUCCCCGGGCUCAACCUGGGAACUGCAUUGGUGACUGGCAGGCUAGAGUAUGGCAGAGGGGGGUAGAAUUCCACGUGUAGCAGUGAAAUGCGUAGAGAUGUGGAGGAAU
rnacentral:rRNA from 1 species